rnacentral:rRNA from 1 species
GACGAACGCUGGCGGCGUGCUUAACACAUGCAAGUCGAACGAAGAGCGAUGGAAGCUUGCUUCUAUCAAUCUUAGUGGCGAACGGGUGAGUAACGCGUAAUCAACCUGCCCUUCAGAGGGGGACAACAGUUGGAAACGACUGCUAAUACCGCAUACGAUCUAAUCUCGGCAUCGAGGAGAGAUGAAAGGUGGCCUCUACAUGUAAGCUAUCACUGAAGGAGGGGAUUGCGUCUGGUUCGCUAGUUGGAGGGGGAACGGCCCACCAAGGCGAUGAUCAGUAGCCGGUCUGAGAGGAUGGACAGCCACAUUGGGACUGAGACACGGCCCAGACUCCUACGGGAGGCAGCAGUGGGGAAUCUUCCGCAAUGGACGAAAGUCUGACGGAGCAACGCCGCGUGAGUGAUGACGGCCUUCGGGUUGUAAAGCUCUGUUAAUCGGGACGAAAGGCCUUCUUGCGAAUAGUGAGAAGGAUUGACGGUACCGGAAGAGAAAGCCACGGCUAACUACGUG